rnacentral:rRNA from 1 species
AACGAACGCUGGCGGCAUGCCUAACACAUGCGAGUCGAACGAGACCUUCGGGUCUAGUGGCGCACGGGUGCGUAACGCGUGGGAACCUGCCCUUAGGUUCGGAAUAACUCCCCGAAAGGGGUGCUAAUACCGGAUAAUGUCUUCGGACCAAAGAUUUAUCGCCUUUGGAUGGGCCCGCGUUGGAUUAGCUAGUUGGUAGGGUAAAAGCCUACCAAGGCGACGAUCCAUAGCUGGUCUGAGAGGAUGAUCAGCCACACUGGGACUGAGACACGGCCCAGACUCCUACGGGAGGCAGCAGUGGGGAAUAUUGGACAAGGGGCGAAAGCCUGACCCAGCAAUGCCGGGGGGGUGAUGAAGGCCUUAGGGUUGAAAAGCUCUUUUCCCCGGGAUGAUAAUGACAGGACCGGGAGAAUAAGCCCCGGCAAACUCCGU